rnacentral:rRNA from 1 species
GACGAACGCUGGCGGCGUGCCUAACACAUGCAAGUCGAGCGGAGAUUGCAGCAAUGUAAUUUUAGCGGCGGACGGGUGAGUAACGCGUGGGCAACCUGCCUUUCACUGGGGGAUAACACAGGGAAACUUGUGCUAAUACCGCAUAACGUCACGGGAUGACAUCCUCCUGUGACCAAAGGAGCAAUCCGGUGGAAGAUGGGCCCGCGUCCGAUUAGCUAGUUGGAGGUGUAACGGACCACCAAGGCGACGAUCGGUAGCCGAACUGAGAGGUUGAUCGGCCACAUUGGGACUGAGACACGGCCCAGACUCCUACGGGAGGCAGCAGUGGGGAAUAUUGCGCAAUGGGGGAAACCCUGACGCAGCAACGCCGCGUGAAGGAUGAAGGUUUUCGGAUCGUAAACUUCUUUGAUCGGGGACGAAUAAUGACGGUACCCGAAAAACAAGCCACGGCUAACUACGUGCCAGCAGCCGCAGUAA